CCACCUGGAGGAGAAGGAGAGACAGGUGUAGGGCUGCAGCCUGAGGCAGGGCUGUGUGUGACC
rnacentral:miRNA from 1 species